rnacentral:lncRNA from 1 species
CAAGUGUUGAUGAGAAGUACAGGCUCUGGGCACUGCAGAUAGCAGCUGGUCUGAACUUAAACUGGUGUGACCAGGAAGAAACAGAUGAAUUGAUUAUCAGGUGAGAUGAACUGCAGCAGAAUUUGUAUUCAGCAGUGACAGACUUAAUUUUGGAAGUGGAUCAACUGCCCCUCUCUGAGCACUCAAGAGCAUUACAGACAAGAGCUGAC